rnacentral:rRNA from 1 species
GAUGAACGCUGGUGGCGCGCCUAACACAUGCAAGUCGAACGGCACCCCUCUCCGGAGGGAAGCGAGUGGCGAACGGCUGAGUAACACGUGGAGAACCUGCCCCCUCCCCCGGGAUAGCCGCCCGAAAGGACGGGUAAUACCGGAUACCCCGGGGUGCCGCAUGGCACCCCGGCUAAAGCCCCGACGGGAGGGGAUGGCUCCGCGGCCCAUCAGGUAGACGGCGGGGUGACGGCCCACCGUGCCGACAACGGGUAGCCGGGUUGAGAGACCGACCGGCCAGAUUGGGACUGAGACACGGCCCAGACUCCUACGGGAGGCAGCAGUGGGGAAUCUUGCGCAAUGGGGGGAACCCUGACGCAGCGACGCCGCGUGCGGGACGGAGGCCUUCGGGUCGUAAACCGCUUUCAGCAGGGAAGAGUCAAGACUGUACC